rnacentral:rRNA from 1 species
GACGAACGCUGGCGGCGUGCUUAACACAUGCAAGUCGAACGGAAAGGCCUCUUUCGGGGGGUACUCGAGUGGCGAACGGGUGAGUAACACGUGAGUAACCUGCCCUUGACUUUGGGAUAACUUCAGGAAACUGGGGCUAAUACCGGAUAGGAGCUCCUUCUGCAUGGUGGGGGUUGGAAAGUUUCGGCGGUUGGGGAUGGACUCGCGGCUUAUCAGCUUGUUGGUGGGGUAGUGGCUUACCAAGGCUUUGACGGGUAGCCGGCCUGAGAGGGUGACCGGCCACAUUGGGACUGAGAUACGGCCCAGACUCCUACGGGAGGCAGCAGUGGGGAAUAUUGCACAAUGGGUGGAAGCCUGAUGCAGCAACGCCGGGUGCGGGAGGACGGCCUUCGGGUUGUAAACCGCUUUCGCUCAUGACGAAGCUUUGUGUGACGGUAGUGGGUAAAGAAGCACCGGCUAACUACGUG